rnacentral:ncRNA from 2 species
UAUCUUUGCAUCCGCAUUGGUUCGGAUCAUGAUGUAUCAUUAUGGCCGAUUAAAAGGGAAGCCGGUGAAAAUCCGGAGCAGACCCGCUACUGUAAGUCCUAUGCAACGUUGCGGCACACAAAGCCAUUGACACUGCCACUAUGAAUCAUGGUGUUGAGAAGGCCAACCGCAACGGGGACAAGCCAGGAGACCUGCCAUGCCAAUAUUAUUUCA